CUUAUGGUAAAAUCUUGAAAGCCAGUAUCUUGAAUCUCUAAACUUGGACGUUUUCUUGUUUUAUUUCCUCCUCCAAAGGAAAUACACUCACUGCCUUAUUGUAGACAUAAAACCAGAGGAGACAAAUCCAUCUCUUACUCCCACAGCUCUCCCAGACACUGAGUUCCCUCUGAAUCAGACUCGGAGACCACCUCCAACAGGAGUGACCUAAGCAAACCCCGCCCAAAUGUCAUCAUCAGGCAUCCCACGAUGACGAUGACGUGGAGACUGUAAAAAUUUUAUCUCGUGCAAACUAGAGCCCUCAACAUUAGAAGCCACUGAAAUAUAAAACUAAAUAUUCUAUCUCUUUUGAAAAAACUCCGGGUAAACGGCAUUACCUGUCCCCUGGCCUGAUGACACCUCUUGUUGCGUUUUCCCCACCCUGCGGUGAGCACGUGGAAGGGGUGUGGCCAGCACACCUGUGCGAAUUGGGGACUGCAGCAAAAACGGAGCCGUCGAGAGCUGUUCUUUUAUAGCAGGCAUCCCCAAAACUCAGAGAGCCAUUCCGUGAGGCGGUGUUGCAUGGAGCCCGGAAGCAGAUGAUCCUCCAGACACCGUGGGAAGAUCAAUAGCGGCCCACCACUACGUCCCAAUGCCCACGUCAUUCCCCUCACUUAUCUUAUCAAGCAGGCAUUUUAUCAUCUCAUCAUCACAAGAGGGAGGCAUAAAGUUCUGAAAAAAAUAAUAAGCUUCAUUUGGGAAAUAUUUUUUAAAUGUCAGAGAGAUAUCAAGGUGUUCUACAGGCAAUUGACUAAAUUGUCUAAAGACGUUCAUAUUAACUGGGGUACAGAUGAAGACGGGAAAGUCACCCGUAUUGUAUAGACGGUGUUUGAAGACAUAGAUAUAUAAGAGGGCCUGGAGGAAGCUUUUAAGAGAAGAGGGGAGCCAAGAACUGAACUGUGAGGGAUACCAACAUUUGAGAGAUGGACGAAGAAAGGAACGAAAUCAAAGAAUUGCCAGAAGAAAACAAAAGUGUGCUGUUUCUAUGGAUGAAGAUGGAAAGAAUGUCUUAAGAAGAAAGGAAUGGCCAACAGUGUGACUCCUAUUUACAAAUGUAUUCAUUCAACAAUAUUUAUUGAGUAUCUACUAUGUACAGAGAUCAUUCUAAGCACCAGGAGUUCAAUAGAGAAUAAGGCAGAUAGUUCUUCCUCUCGUGGAGUUUGUGACCUAGUGGAAAUUCAUACAAAUCAAGUCAGAUAAGGAAGGAAUGAAAAUCGUCGUCAAGUGUGGUCAUUGGGUUAGGUGGCUACUUGUCAACACCUAGGCCCUCCAAGUCAAGCUGCUGGUGCAUCUGGAAAGUGAGUUCAAAAUGAAUGUUUGUCUUACUUUCGCAAACUCAGUGUGACAAACGAAUUACCUGCUUUGAGAAGAUGAGCACACGGCCUGCUGGGGAUUAUUGUUUGACCUGAAGGGCUGGCACCUGGCAAGCUCUUCUCUGCUUUCCAAAACCUUGAAGAUCUUGGAAGGCUCUAGUCACUCUUUCAAAGAGAAAGUCUCUCAAGACCUUCAGAAUAAUUUGACUCUAGCCCCACCUGACUCAACCCAGAUGAAAAUAGUGGGGUAUAGAGAGAUGCAAUAAAGCAAGCCAUAGGAAACAUACAGAAAUGGGAUAAAUGGGGUGGAAGACUUUAAGGGUGUCUUAUUCUCCAGAGAACAUCGGAUUUAAGAAGAAAAUGAAAAUAAAGUCCCGGAGGACACAAACCAUUACAAUCAAUCAAGAAACAGCCCAAAUAUUUAGAUGAACAAGCCUAAAACUAGUAAUAUAGUCCACUCAAGCAACCCCAAUAAAUCCCACUAGCAAUUUUUUUUUAAAAAAUUGACAAAAGAAUUCUAAAGUUAAUUUGAGAAAAAAGAAAACCUUUAAAAAGAAAAUAAUGCUGGGGGGCAGGGUGGGGGUGGUAGAGAAAGAGAAACUUGUCCUACCAGACUAGAAGCUAUGCUAUAAUCAAGCUAUGAUAACCAAAAUGUUGGGGUUCUGGGGCAGAAGUAGGCUGACAGAUCAACGGAACAGAAAAAGGCCCUGAGAAAGACACCAGCGUACAGAGGAAUUUAGCAUAUCGUUAAGCUGUCAUUUUGAAUCGGUAGAGAAAUGAAAAAUUUUCCAAUAAAUGGUGUUAGGACAACUAGCUAGCAGUUUGAAUAAAAUUUAAUUUAGAUUCUUACCAUGGGUCUUAUUCUAAAAUAAAUUCAGGAUGGGUUAAUUAUUUAAAUGUAAAUCGAAUGCAUAAAAACACUAGAAGAAAAUUUAGGUGGAUAUUUUUACAAUUCUGAUGUGAAGAAUUUUCUAAUCAUGUCGUCAGAAUGAGAAACCAUGAAGGAUAAAUUUGAAUACGUAAGAAUUCAAAACAUUUGGAUGGCAAAACCCACUGUCACCCACAUUAAAAGAGAAAAAAAAAUUAAUAAAACAUAUGGCACGGCCUCUUUGACAGGAGACUGAGAAAAAUAAGAUGCUCAUGCUUCUCUGGUGAAGUACAGUUUCAAGAAACACUUCCUGAGGACACUCUCAGUCUUAGGUGCCAAGGACACAGCUAAGCAGGGAGAUGAGGUUCCUGCUCUCACUGAGCUUAUGAUCCAGUGAUGAGUGAGGCAGAUAGGAAAAAAAAAAACGUCUUUCAUGUCACGCAGAGAUGAGCAGUAUGAUUAAAAUGAAGCCCUGUGCGCCUGAGAGAUUAGUUGGGGCUGGUGAGGAGCAGGGGGUCAGGGAAGGUCAUUUUGAGGAAGUAAUCAUUAACUGAGGUCCAAAGGACAACAAGGAGCAACAGAAAACUGGGGCAAAGGUUUUCCGAAUGGGGAAGCAGCCAGUGCGAGGCAUGGCAUGACAGAGGGAGAACCAGGCCUGUGUGGGGCCGGGGAGGGGGAGGUGAGAGAAAACCUGUGGCCACAGUGCAUGUCGUUGGGGCAAAAGGGAGCCCAGUGGGAGUAGAGGCUGAGGACCGGGUGCAGGCUGCAGGUCACAGCUCUGUAAGUGGUGUUACCUUUUAUUUGACAUGUGAGGGAAGCCACUGGACCUUUGAAGUAGGGCACUGACUUCUGGUUCCCUGAAGGAAGACUCUGCUGCCUCGAAUUGCUUGGAGAUUUCCACCAGAGUCUACCAAAGCCAGGGCACAUGGUGAAGUCCUAGGCAUGUUCCCCUCAAAAUCAAAUCACAACAUGAGAAGAAUCCAUUCAAAACAGCAGAAUGGAAAUGCCAGUCUCCAAAAGGUUCCACCAGGUAUCAUAUAUAAAGAAUCGCAGGGCUCCUAACCAAUUCGGAGGUACAUCUACUAUCUUCAGCCGUUUGCACUUUUUUCCACUUCGUUUUUUCAUAUUUUUUUAGGCUUUGCCAACCCAGCCCAGUUAAAGACCAAUUUUAUAUAUACGUUCUGGUUCAGAAUCUGAGCUCUUUUUGAAAGCUCAUUAAUUUAUAAGCAGGUACCUGAGCUUUAUUAUUUUUUUAACUUCAGUUGUCAUGAAUAUGUGAAAAGUCACCGGAAGCCCAGCUCUUUCAUUUCUUGAAUUAACCAAGAAAAAUCAUGUACCUUUCAGAAAGAGCUCACAUGUGACUGGGGAAGAGACUUGUAUAGAAAUGGACGGAAGCAUCUGCAUUUGUGUGCACACAUGAGUGUGGGGGGGUGGAGAUGUGCAGAGGACCACGACACGCACCCCAGGUGACAGACACCUACAGGUAGCCCAAAUUCAAAUCCAGUUCCUCAUAACCCAGCUCUGACUUCAUCCCCCUGUCUCCCACUCAAGAAAGUAGUUCUGGGCACCUGGGUGGCUCAGUCACUAAGGGUUGGAGUCUUGAUUUCAGCUCAAGUCAUGCUCUCAGGGUCCUGAGAUUGAGCCGAGUCAGCCUCCGCGCUCAGUGGGGAGUCUGCUUGAAGAUUCUCUCCUUCGCCCCCCCCCAUGCACACGCAUGCAUGCUCGCUCACUCGCUCUCUUGGGGGGGCGGCGGAGAGAAAGAAAGCAGUUCUGUGAAUUGAGGGAGAAAGGCAGAUGACUAUGUUGAAAUAUCAGCAGACGAGAUGAUCCCACUCUGCUAUUUGCCCUGAAUCAUAACAUGAUAGAAUUCAAUUCAAAAUUCAAAAGGGACAUGAAAUUGUUUUUUCCAGCAAGCAUAGGCCCCAAAGACAGAAAAACCUGAAAUAUGCUGUGUGGUAGUAAAACAAAAGUUACUCUAAACUGUAAUGAGUAGAAACAACAGGUAAUUCAUCGGUAGAAAUGAAUGAUAGUUCGGAAAAUCAUCAUCCCAUGAACUGAUUUCAGGCAAAUAGGUCUGCUCCACUCGGGUGUGUGUACUACUAUUUCAGCUCAUCCUACGCACUUACUGAGCCUUCCCUCUUGCGCUGAGACAAUGCAAGGUUGUCAGACCCGAUCCCUGAGACUAAAGGAGAGUGGGGCACAUCUCCUGCUAAGUUUCUGGAGCCCACGAAGGGAGCACUGCUGCCAGAACCACGACCUGAGCAGCACCCCCUCCACGUGAGCUCAGAUCAUUUGUUUUACUUAGAGUGUAAAAAAAAAUACCAUGUUGCUAAAUCAUGGUUUUUACUUAUUUGAAAUGAUAUCACAGCAAAGCUAUUUUACUAUUACAGAAGUUCAGAAUAUAUAAAGAAAGUAGACAGGGGCGCCUGGAUGGCUCAGUCGGUUAAGCGUCUGCCUUCAGCUCAGGUCAUGAUCUCAGGGUCCUGGGAUCAAGUCCCGCAUCGGGCUCCCUGCUCAGUGGGGAGCCUGCUUCUCCCUCUCCCACUGCCCCUCCCCCCUGCCCAUACUGCCCCUCUCUCUCUCCCAAAUAAAUAAAAUCUUUUAAAAGAAAAAAAAAAGAGAGCGUUUUAGAAAAAAAAAUAACAAAAAUCAUAUUUUAGUUUUUAACAUCUUCAUUCUUGUUAAGUGAAACACUGGUUCUGGAAGCUGCUUUUUUUUCUAUAUUUUUCUAAAACUUCUUUUCAGAGGAGCCCUCUCUGUUCCUCUGUACCACAUUCAUUCGACCAACCUCAAGUAUCUGCCAUGUGCCAGCUAAGUUUGACCCAGUCCAUGGCUCAGAGUUCCUGUUUCCUUGGGUUCUGUCAGCACUGAGACCAGCAAGUACAGCGGCAGGUGUAAUUACCGCAGUGACGGAUGUUCUCCAGCACUCCGGCAGGGUACAGAGGAUUAGUAGAUCCUACCCUCUCUCUCAUGGAACCUUCUCUUUUCCUUUCAAAGUACAAAGUGAAAGGCAUCUUCAGUUAAACCUGAUUGCCAUGAUUACGCUGAUUCCGGUGAAGUGAGCUACCAGGCAGGAAAUGACGCUAAUGGCUAGAAUGUCUGACCCCAUGGGGGCUGAUGCGUAAUCCAACAAACUCAUUAGCAUCAAAGUAAAAUAAUCAAACCGAUUAAGUAACCCAUCAGGCACGAAGCAAGUGAGAAAAGGGGAAAAAAGGAGCAUAUGCUCUGGCAGCAGGCCUGAACUUCUGACUCAACACACAAAAACAGACAAACACAGAACAACAGAGGCGCGAACUUCUACACACAGGCAUGCUCGCACUAUCAGUCACAUACACAAACGUUCACACCACACACUCAGACACACUCGUGUAUGUAUCGAAGGGGAGCAGAAUAUGCCACCCCAAAAUCUGUUUCUUUGGCAUAAGGAUUAUUUGGGGCUGGUUAUCUCUUUUAAGAUUUUAUUUAUUUAUUUAUUUAUUUGUUUAUUUAUUUGAGGGAGAGAGAGAGAGAGACAGCAUGAGCGGGAGGGAGAGAGAGGGAGAGAGAGACUCUCAAGCAGACUCCAUGCUGAGGGUGAAUCCCAGAAACCUGAGAUCAUGACCUGAGCCGGAACCGAGAGUCAGAUGCUUAACUGACUGAGCCACCCAGGCGUCCCUGGGGCUGGUUAUUUUUAAGAAACAGCAGACACGGGAGAAGCUCUGAAAAAUGAAUACCCUUUUGUGAGACGUUUACAUUUAUGAGGGAAAUCUCCGUUUGUGAGAGCAUCUCCCUCUUGGUUCCAGGAAAAGGAGGAUAAGUACAUCUCUAGAAACUCUCAGCAAUGGAGAAAAUGAGGACUUAGAUCUUCAAAACAGCCUCACCCCCGUUUACUGGUCACCUCCCCUGACUGGCCUGCCCCCACCAUCUUCUCUUGUCUUUAGCUGGGCAUGGUACAUAAGGUGAUGGUGUGGGCUGUUUCUGGGAGUUAGUCCGUCUUCCUGGGGUUCUCCCAUGCCUAUGGGAGGUGUACAUGAUAUUAAACUUCCGUUUGUUUUUCUCCUGUUAAACUGUCUUUUUGUUACAGGGGGUCUCAGCCAAGAAUCUAGAAGCGUAGAGGGAAAAUUAAUAUUCCUUCUCUGCAAUGCACACCAGCAACACACACAGACACAGGCACUUCACACACUCACACUCAUACACCAACUCAUGUAUAUACACCAACACGCACAACCUCACACGCUCCCUACCUGACAAAGGGAAAACAAAACUCUCCGGAUGUGGAGAUAGAGUUCCUCAUGACGGGAACUGCAAAUAUGUCCUUUUCUUUCUAUUGCUAACCUCCUCAUCCCUCCUAAAGAUGCGCAGAAGUACAGAAUGGGACACCCCCCAAAGGCAGUCCG